AGCCUUUCGAAUCAGUGCUGCGAUCUCAUCAGACACCAACCCAUUAGGGCUGAUCAGACUUCCAAGAUAAGUGAAGUU
rnacentral:pre_miRNA from 1 species